rnacentral:lncRNA from 1 species
CCCAUUAGCCCUCUAGAUAUUAUGUUAUGUAAUGAAAGACCAGGGCUGCCAUUCUACGCCCCUGGCAUAGAGUACAGGAAAGACCAGGUGUGGCCUGCACUACGCCCCUGGCACAGAGCUUAUGUUAUGUAAUAGAAGUCCUGAGGAGCUCCACCGAGGGCCGGGCACAGAGUAGAGGGAUUUUUGGGUCAGUCCAUCCGUGAU